AGUGGAUGGGGAGCAACCUAGUUGUGCGUGUGUAAAGGUAGUGCCAAGAAAAGCGAUGAUCAUGUUGAAAAUCAAUUCCCGGUACCCGAAACCGACACAGGUGGGCAAGUAGAGAAUACUAAGGGGCGCGAGGUAACUCUCUCCAAGGAACUCGGCAAAAUACCCCGUAACUUAGGGAGAAGGGGUGCCACCGAGAGGUGGUCGCAGUGAAGAGGCCCAGGCGACUGUUUAGCAAAAACAUAGGUCUCUGCAAACUCGAAAGAGGAGGUAUAGGGGCUGACGCCUGCCCAGUGCCGGAAGGUUAAAGAAGUUGGUCAGUUUUAGGAUGAAGCUAGCGACUGAAGCCCCGGUGAACGGCGGCCGUAACUAUAACGGUCCUAAGGUAGCGAAAUUCCUUGUCGGGUAAGUUCCGACCCGCACGAAAGGCGUAACGAUCUGGGCGCUGUCUCGGAGAGAGGCUCGGCGAAAUAGGAUUGUCUGUGAAGAUACGGACUACCUGCAUUUGGACAGAAAGACCCUAUGAAGCUUUACUAUAGCUUGGAAUUGUGUUCGGGCUUCCUGUGCGCAGGAUAGGUGGGAGGCGUAGAAGGUAUUCUUGUGGGGAUACUGGAGCCAACGGUGAGAUACCACUCUCAGGAGGCUAGAAUUCUAACUUAAUUAAGGACAGUUUCAGGUGGGUAGUUUGACUGGGGCGGUCGCCUCCAAAAAGGUAACGGAGGCGUACAAAGGUUCCCUCAGACUGGUUGGAAAUCAGUCGAAGAGUGCAAAGGCAGAAGGGAGCUUGACUGCGAGAAGUACAGUUCGAGCAGGGUGGAAACACGGUCUUAGUGAUCCGACGGUGCUGUGUGGAAGGGCCGUCGCUCAACGGAUAAAAGUUACUCUAGGAUAACAGGCUGAUCUCCCCCAAGAGUUCACAUCGACGGGGAGGUUUGGCACCUCGAUGUCGGCUCAUCGCAACCUGGGGCGGAAGUACGUCCCAAGGGUUGGGCUGUUCGCCCAUUAAAGCGGUACGUGAGCUGGGUUCAGAACGUCGUGAGACAGUUCGGUCCAUAUCCGAUGUAGGCGUGAGAAUAUUGAGAGGAGCCUUCCUUAGUACGAGAGGACCGGGAAGGACGCACCGCUGGUGUACCUGUUAUGAUGCCAAUUGUAAACGCAGGGUAGCCAAGUGCGGAGAGGAUAACCGCUGAAAGCAUCUAAGUGGGAAGCCCACCUCAAGAUGAGUAUUCUGGUGUAAGGUCACGGGAAGACGACCCGUAAAUAGGCACGAGGUGGAAGUGCAGAGAUGUAUGAAGCCGAAGUGUACUAAUAGACCGUCGGCUUGACCU
rnacentral:rRNA from 1 species